UAAAUGAAUAUUUUGCUUUUUGUAUUGGUACAGAUAUUAUACGGUGAAAGUGGCAAUUGGAAAUCCACCUCAAUUAUACGACCUUGACAUUGACUCUGGUAGUGAUCUCACUUGGGUUCAGUCCAAAUCCUGUAAGACCUGCACACCUCGUUCACAAUAUUAUCCGUAUAACCCCAACAGUAACAUCCAAUGCAAAGAACCCCUGUGUGCUGCGCUAAAUAGAAACUGCGCUCCACCAACUGGGCCAUGUAAAUAUAAAA